AAAUUGAAGAGUUUGAUCAUGGCUCAGAUUGAACGCUGGCGGCAGGCCUAACACAUGCAAGUCGAACGGUAACAGGAAGCAGCUUGCUGCUUUGCUGACGAGUGGCGGACGGGUGAGUAAUGUCUGGGAAACUGCCUGAUGGAGGGGGAUAACUACUGGAAACGGUGGCUAAUACCGCAUAACGUCGCAAGACCAAAGAGGGGGACCUUCGGGCCUCUUGCCAUCAGAUGUGCCCAGAUGGGAUUAGCUUGUUGGUGAGGUAACGGCUCACCAAGGCGACGAUCCCUAGCUGGUCUGAGAGGAUGACCAGCCACACUGGAACUGAGACACGGUCCAGACUCCUACGGGAGGCAGCAGUGGGGAAUAUUGCACAAUGGGCGCAAGCCUGAUGCAGCCAUGCCGCGUGUAUGAAGAAGGCCUUCGGGUUGUAAAGUACUUUCAGCGGGGAGGAAGGUGUUGUGGUUAAUAACCGCAGCAAUUGACGUUACCCGCAGAAGAAGCACCGGCUAACUCCGUGCCAGCAGCCGCGGUAAUACGGAGGGUGCAAGCGUUAAUCGGAAUUACUGGGCGUAAAGCGCACGCAGGCGGUCUGUCAAGUCGGAUGUGAAAUCCCCGGGCUCAACCUGGGAACUGCAUUCGAAACUGGCAGGCUUGAGUCUUGUAGAGGGGGGUAGAAUUCCAGGUGUAGCGGUGAAAUGCGUAGAGAUCUGGAGGAAUACCGGUGGCGAAGGCGGCCCCCUGGACAAAGACUGACGCUCAGGUGCGAAAGCGUGGGGAGCAAACAGGAUUAGAUACCCUGGUAGUCCACGCCGUAAACGAUGUCUACUUGGAGGUUGUGCCCUUGAGGCGUGGCUUCCGGAGCUAACGCGUUAAGUAGACCGCCUGGGGAGUACGGCCGCAAGGUUAAAACUCAAAUGAAUUGACGGGGGCCCGCACAAGCGGUGGAGCAUGUGGUUUAAUUCGAUGCAACGCGAAGAACCUUACCUGGUCUUGACAUCCACGGAACUUUCCAGAGAUGGAUUGGUGCCUUCGGGAACCGUGAGACAGGUGCUGCAUGGCUGUCGUCAGCUCGUGUUGUGAAAUGUUGGGUUAAGUCCCGCAACGAGCGCAACCCUUAUCCUUUGUUGCCAGCGGUCCGGCCGGGAACUCAAAGGAGACUGCCAGUGAUAAACUGGAGGAAGGUGGGGAUGACGUCAAGUCAUCAUGGCCCUUACGACCAGGGCUACACACGUGCUACAAUGGCGCAUACAAAGAGAAGCGACCUCGCGAGAGCAAGCGGACCUCAUAAAGUGCGUCGUAGUCCGGAUUGGAGUCUGCAACUCGACUCCAUGAAGUCGGAAUCGCUAGUAAUCGUGGAUCAGAAUGCCACGGUGAAUACGUUCCCGGGCCUUGUACACACCGCCCGUCACACCAUGGGAGUGGGUUGCAAAAGAAGUAGGUAGCUUAACCUUCGGGAGGGCGCUUACCACUUUGUGAUUCAUGACUGGGGUGAAGUCGUAACAAGGUAACCGUAGGGGAACCUGCGGUUGGAUCACCUCCUUACCUUAAAGAAGC
rnacentral:rRNA from 1 species